AGUCGACGAGACCUUCGGGUCUAGUGGCGCACGGGUGCGUAACGCGUGGGAAUCUGCCCUCUGGUACGGAAUAACUCAGGGAAACUUGAGCUAAUACCGUAUAAUGACUUCGGUCCAAAGAUUUAUCGCCUGAGGAUGAGCCCGCGUAGGAUUAGCUUGUUGGUGAGGUAAAAGCUCACCAAGGCGACGAUCCUUAGCUGGUCUGAGAGGAUGAUCAGCCACACUGGGACUGAGACACGGCCCAGACUCCUACGGGAGGCAGCAGUGGGGAAUAUUGGACAAUGGGCGAAAGCCUGAUCCAGCAAUGCCGCGUGAGUGAUGAAGGCCUUAGGGUUGUAAAGCUCUUUUACCCGGGAUGAUAAUGACAGUACCGGGAGAAUAAGCCCCGGCUAACUCCGUGCCAGCAGCCUCGGUAAUACGGAGGGGGCUA
rnacentral:rRNA from 1 species